GCAUGGCUGGCGUAGAUUGUGCGCACCGGGGCGUCGUAGAUGCCCUCGACAUCUGUGCCGAGCCAGACGCCUUGUUC
rnacentral:tRNA from 1 species